rnacentral:lncRNA from 1 species
UUACAUGAAACAACUAACAUACACUCUUUUUAGUUUCUAUAAAGAUAUAUAUUAUUAACAUGUACAUUAUAUGUUGCUUGGCACCUGUCAUGUGUCGAGAAUUUUCUAUUUACACAUCUAAACAUACAUAUGUAUGUGAUUGUCCAAGGGCAAGAUCAUUUACAUACUACUAUUGUUCUCCUUCAAUUUGCAGAUGAAUUUUCUCUUUCUAAAAAAAAUCCUCCUGUUGAAGAAUCAGAUGAUGUUCCGAGGACUGUUACCAAGGAGAAUAAGGACUCUGAAAUUUCUCCACCUGAAGAAGAAGAAAAUAAGACUUCAAUCCCAUUAGCCAGAGGAAAAACUAAACAUGUCAAGUUUGAUAAGCUAAUAGAAGAAAGCGACGAUGACGAGGAUGUUAUAGAAUUGGAAUUUGAGAGGGAAAUUAAGAAGCUGGAUACUCAUACUAUGUAUUGUCCUAAUUGUAAUACUUCCAUAACCAAAGUUGUUCUUCACGAGGACCACCGUCUGCAGAUCGUAGUACUCAACAACACGAGUCAGUAGAUCUGUUUGGAUGUUCAUCUUGCUAUAGCUUGUUUGUUCCUUCAGGUACAAAUCCAGCCACAUGAUCAUUUACCAACUGUUCUAUACUUGGACUUAUUUAAUUGUUUUCUUCUUCUUCUUUUAAUCUAAAACAGCAAAUUGUUUCAGUUGGUUCUGGCUUUU